UUCGGCAACGGAUAUUUGGUUUUCGCAUGGAUGAAGAACGUAGCGAAAUGCGAUACUUGGUGUGAAUUGCAGAAUCCCGUGAACCAUGGAUCUUUGAACGCAAGUUGCGCCGACGCCAUUCGGCGAGGGACGUUGCCUGGGUGUACGC
rnacentral:rRNA from 1 species